rnacentral:rRNA from 1 species
UACGAAGGGGGCUAGCGUUGCUCGGAAUCACUGGGCGUAAAGGGUGCGUAGGCGGGUUUUUAAGUCAGGGGUGAAAUCCUGGAGCUCAACUCCAGAACUGCCUUUGAUACUGAAGAUCUUGAGUCCGGGAGAGGUGAGUGGAACUGCGAGUGUAGAGGUGAAAUUCGUAGAUAUUCGCAAGAACACCAGUGGCGAAGGCGGCUCACUGGCCCGGUACUGACGCUGAGGCACGAAGGCCAGGGGAGCAAACGGG